rnacentral:rRNA from 1 species
ACAUAGGUGGCGAGCGUUAUCCGGAUUUAUUGGGUGUAAAGGGUGCACAGGUGGUUUUGUAAGUUUGAUGUUAAAUUCUGGGGCUCAACCCCAGCCUGCAUUGAAAACUGCAAGACUAGAAUAUCGGUGGGAACAGUGGAAUUCCAUGUGUAGCGGUGGAAUGCAUAAAUAUAUGGAGGAACACCAAUGGCGAAGGCAGCUGUUUGAACGAUAAUUGACACUUAAGCACGAAAGCGUGGGUAGCAAAUAGG